rnacentral:misc_RNA from 1 species
GAUGAAGAACGCAGCGAAAUGCGAUAAAUAAUGUGAAUUGCAGAAUUCAGUGAAUCAUCGAGUCUUUGAACGCACAUUGCGCCCCCUGGUAUUCCGGGGGGCAUGCCUGUCCGAGCGUCAUUGCUGCCCUCAAGCACGGCUUGUGUGCUGGGCCCCCGUCCCCCCCUCCCGGGGGACGGGCCCGAAAGGCAGCGGCGGCACCGCGUCCGGUCCUCGAGCGUAUGGGGCUUUGUCACCCGCUCUGUAGGCCCGGCCGGCGCCUGCCGACCACCAUCAAUCUUUUUUCAGGUUGACCUCGGAUCAGGUAGGGAUACCCGCUGAACUUAAGCAUAUCAAUAAGCGGAGGA